ACCCCCCCCCCCGCCCCCAGCUCCGCCUGCGGGACGAGGAGGAGGAGGAGAGGAGGCCGCGCUCCCUCCCCGGUUCGAGUGGCGGCCGCAGGAUCUAAACUGAGCAAGGACUGGGAGAGCUUUACGCGAGCCUGACUCUGCUGUCUGCUGCUGAAGCCGGUGGAGGUCUUGAUAGAUACAGCUUGAGUGUGUUUGCAGCAGAUAGCUCAUCAAUGUUUAUUUAUUUAUCCUUGUUAAGCAGCACCCGAAAACUAACCAGCUAAGUCCUUAAACAAAAACCCCCAAUUUUCUUGGAGUACAGUGGUGUGUUUGCUGCUGUUGUAGUAUUUGGAAUAAAGAAGCCGAGCAGCACUGUAUCCUCGGAACCCCCCUCAGAUGUCUGUGCUGAACUACAGGAGACACGCUUUUAACAGCACUCACGGUUCUGUUGUGCUGAGGGCAUGAUAAAAGUUUGCGUAAAAGUAUUUCACCAGCAGACUGAAAGGCUUUUAGUCUACUUGGCAGGUUUUAUCCCCUUAGGUUUCACUUGUAUUUCAGCUCUGCGAACUAAAUACAAAGUAAAGAGAGUAGGUGGAUGUUUGAACUUGUGUUGCUUAGUGGUGGCCGAUUUGUCUCAUUCUCGGGGAGCAUGGUGGGAGUGAUACAGUUUUCAAUUAAAUUUGAGUGGGCUACUUGGGAAAAUCAUGUUGUUUCUGGCAGGUACCUAUCUGAUGAUUUUGCUUUGCGUCCUGUUUUUUCUCGUCUUUGUUGCCCUUGAGUUUUUCUGUGUCAGAAUUCAUGUGAGGUUCUCCUCUGUGUUCUCUCUGAAACUGGAAAAAUAUUAACUUAGUGAUUGUUUUUUAUAAAAACUCACAAUUCAGCUUUAAAGCCCCUUGUUUGGACUGCAAUGCCUUAAUCCAGCAAUAAUGCGAUUCUUAAUUAAAAAGCAUCCUGUCAGAUUCAGAGCCUGCUGGAAUUGGUAGAAAGAUUUCUGUGCUGAGUUUAAUACUGCCUAAUGUUACAUCUUCAGUGCUGACUGGCACCUGAGAUGCGUCAUCUGUGUCACAGGGAGCCACAAACGGUUCACCUGUUGCAAUGGUUCACACCUGGCUGAAGAUGUGAAUCUAAAAUCAAUCUGAAUUCUUAUGGUAUUUUUUAACAUGCAAUCAAUACAGCUGAAAUUAUAAUUUAAAAUGUAUCUUUUUCUCAUUAAGUGGUAUUAUUGUGCUCUCAGUUUUUAUACAUCGACUCUUUUCUCCAGUUUCUCGAGGUGCUUAUUCAGGAUUUAUUUCCUAGUUCUAUGAGUUUUUGAAAGGAAUGUUCAAACUGCUCCAAAUAUUACUACACGCUCAAGAGCAUUUUUAGUUGUGUUGCUGUUGAUGAUAGGAUCAGUCCCUGUGUCUUUGGUUUUGUUUUGAUCUACGCAUAACCCAGAUUAAAGGCAGAACUUUGGUAGGGUAACAUUUUGCAUUGUAAAUGAGCACACUGCUGAUGAUUUAAGUGCUAUUAGGAUGAUGAAGAUGUUUGCUAAUCUGAGGAAAAAUGCACUAGAGCAGUAGGAGGAACUUGAGUUAGGUGGCCACAAGUCCGUCAGUGUCUCCGGUGGAGUUCAGCUGAAGUUGGUUUGGGGGAGCAGUUUUCUGUUGUUCUAGUCAAAACCUUAACAGCUCUGUUGACAUCAGUCGGGUUCAGACUUAAGUUUUUCAGCGAGUCUUCACAUUUUGUAGUGUUUUUGGAAAGCAGGAGAGUAGAGUCCCCAUUCCGUUGAGCAAUUUGCUCGUUCCUUCCUGCAGAGCUCCUUACCCGCUGCCUCAGGGCAGCUUCUGGAAUCGCCAAAGCUGUUGGGGGCUUCCCAUCAGUGUGUGUCCUGGGCACUGUUUCCACACGGUUACAUCUGUAGUGAAACGUGAGUUUAUAUCAACGCUGUAAAUCCAUUUUAUUAGCACAGCUGACGCUUCUAACGCUUUGGCUUCUGAUUUAUCUUGGUGACAAGGCUUGGUGGGAAGCGCGACAGCUGCGGCAGCUUCUUGCUGGAUGAAUAAACGUUGUUCAUGUGAUAGUCGCCAGUCUCUUCAUCCAGGGCUAUCAGCCCUCCUAGAAUUUGUCACACGCUUGGUCCAAACCUCGCUCAUCUUCAGAGCAAGGAAAAGUGGUCCCCAGGAAAAGCCCUCACGUUAGGGCUGUUCUGGUAUCCUGAUGUUGGUUACGAAUGUGGAAACUUCUUGUUUUUACACCUAGUGAGCAAAGCUUUAUCGUCGGCUACUGAGUAGCUGCAAUUUACAGCAGCAAAACAAACAGAACAAAAACCCUAAAUCCUUUUGCUUGUAGAAUGUGUGUCCUCAGAGGAAAUGGUUUAACUGUAGGUAGAAAAAAUUUCUUGUUAGGAGUCCCAUUUCCAUCAGGAGUUGUUGGCGUAACCGAACUGACACAGCUCCUGCCGUGCAGAUUAGCCUGCUUCCUGCUGCCUUUGCCUUCGUCCCAGAUUGGCCUGGUGCAUCAGCCCUGCCUGCUUUUAACUGGGAAAGUUGAAAAGGGACCGUGCAUUCUUGGCUGGAGUGACAUUUUUAGUGCAGCACAACUAUAAAGCGACAGUAAUAUGUGUAUUUGUGUAUUUUGUUUUCCCUGGGGGGGGGGGGGGGGGGGACUGAAACUGCAACUGCACAGAAUGCAUUUUUCAAGCUUAUGCAGUUGAGGUUUCUGUCCAGAAUGGUCGCGAUACUAGCAUUGACUCAAGUGCAGUUGGCAGAGUGUUAAAAAGUAUUUGGGGGUGCAACAGUAAUUGGCAGCUACCAUCAGUUGGUGCUCCUGUUUCACCUAUCUGGAAAACAUAUUUCUUGCGUGGAGCUUGAAGACUGGCAUAUAUAGCACCAGCUGGGAGAAAAGGUGAUACUGUCAACAUGGUGCCUUUGACAACUCAAAGUAGACUUAAGGGAAAAAAAUGUAUCGUUUUGUUUUAAAUUUGUUUAGGUUUGGUUGAAAGAAUCAGAAAUGGGGGGGGGGGGGGGGGGGGGCGCCUUGUGCUGUGGGUGUGAGGAGAAGGGUUUGCUUGCUCUGCUUUCUGAGUGUCUAGGUCUGUUCUGUUCUUGUUCUGUCAAAACCUGUGGAGGACCCCAAACCGUUGGAAUUGCUUUGUUUUCUGAGAUUCAGCCUCCUGGUUUUAUGUGUAGCAGAGAAUAUGUGCGUGAUGCCAAGAAAUGCGUCAUGGGUGGGCACUGGGGGGAUCAGAAGUGGGCUACCUGGUGGAGCAUUUGGCUAUGGCAAAAUAAUUGUCUAAGGCUAGCACAGAUCUUUGUCUUCCCGCUGAUUGUACAGAAUUACAGUCUCUUAAGAUUAUUUCCUCAGCUGGGGCUGUAUACUUUUCAAGACUCUUUCUGUUCCCCUUAGCUAGAACACAGUUAAGCUUUCUUCCCCACCCCUCCACUGGAAGAAAGUGUUUCAGGGUGUGGCUUUUGCUUUUUACAUCCCUCUAUAUUUUAUUGCGUUCGAGUACCUCGAAC